AUUGAACGCUAACGGCGUGCCUAACACAUGCAAGUCGAGCGGCAGCAUGAUCUGUAGCAAUACAGAUUGAUGGCGAGCGGCGGACGGGUGAGCAAUACAUAGGAAUCUACCUUGUAGUGGGGGAUAACCCGGGGAAACUCGGGCUAAUACCGCAUAAUCUCUACGGAGCAAAGCGGGGGAUCGUAAGACCUCGCGCUAAAAGAUGAGCCUAUGUUGGAUUAGCUAGUUGGUGAGGUAAUGGCUCACCAAGGCGACGAUCCAUAGCUGGUCUGAGAGGAUGAUCAGCCACACUGGGACUGAGACACGGCCCAGACUCCUACGGGAGGCAGCAGUGGGGAAUAUUGGACAAUGGGCGAAAGCCUGAUCCAGCAACGCCGUGUGUGUGAAGAAGGCCUUCGGGUUGUAAAGCACUUUUAGUUGGGAAGAAAAGCUUAUGGUUAAUAGCCAUGAGUGAUGACGUUACCAACAGAAAAAGCACUGGCUAACUCUGUGCCAGCAGCCGCCGUAA
rnacentral:rRNA from 1 species